CGUUGACCCGUAAUCCGGGUUGCGGACAGUGUCUGGUGGGUAGUUUGACUGGGGCGGUCUCCUCCUAAAGAGUAACGGAGGAGCACGAAGGUUGGCUAAUCCUGGUCGGACAUCAGGAGGUUAGUGCAAUGGCAUAAGCCAGCUUGACUGCGAGCGUGACGGCGCGAGCAGGUGCGAAAGCAGGUCAUAGUGAUCCGGUGGUUCUGAAUGGAAGGGCCAUCGCUCAACGGAUAAAAGGUACUCCGGGGAUAACAGGCUGAUACCGCCCAAGAGUUCAUAUCGACGGCGGUGUUUGGCACCUCGAUGUCGGCUCAUCACAUCCUGGGGCUGAAGUAGGUCCCAAGGGUAUGGCUGUUCGCCAUUUAAAGUGGUACGCGAGCUGGGUUUAGAACGUCGUGAGACAGUUCGGUCCCUAUCUGCC
rnacentral:rRNA from 1 species